GGGCGGCGGCUACACAUGCAAGUCGGACGGUAGCACAUAGAGCUUGCUCUUGGGUGACGAGUGGCGGACGGGUGAGUAAUGUCUGGGGAUCUGCCCGAUAGAGGGGGAUAACCACUGGAAACGGUGGCUAAUACCGCAUAACGUCGCAAGACCAAAGAGGGGGACCUUCGGGCCUCUCACUAUCGGAUGAACCCAGAUGGGAUUAGCUAGUAGGCGGGGUAAUGGCCCACCUAGGCGACGAUCCCUAGCUGGUCUGAGAGGAUGACCAGCCACACUGGAACUGAGACACGGUCCAGACUCCUACGGGAGGCAGCAGUGGGGAAUAUUGCACAAUGGGCGCAAGCCUGAUGCAGCCAUGCCGCGUGUAUGAAGAAGGCCUUCGGGUUGUAAAGUACUUUCAGCGGGGAGGAAGGCGAUGGGGUUAAUAACCCUGUCGAUUGACGUUACCCGCAGAAGAAGCACCGGCUAACUCCGUGCCAGCAGCCGCGGUAAUACGGAGGGUGCAAGCGUUAAUCGGAAUUACUGGGCGUAAAGCGCACGCACGCGGUCUGUUAAGUCAGAUGUGAAAUCCCCGGGCUUAACCUGUGAACUGCAUUUGAAACUGGCAGGCUUGAGUCUUGUAGAGGGGGGUAGAAUUCCAGGUGUAGCGGUGAAAUGCGUAUAGAUCUGGAGGAAUACCGGUGGCGAAGGCGGCCCCCUGGACAAAGACUGACGCUCAGGUGCGAAAGCGUGGGGAGCAAACAGGAUUAGAUACCCCUGG
rnacentral:rRNA from 1 species